UUAACAUUAUGGAGGAGACAAGAUGUUAAACAAAAGGAACUAAAAGAAAAGGAUCAAGACUCACUACAUUAUACUGAUGUUAUUUCUUACAUUAUACUGAAAGAAGCUGAAUAUAAACUAAGAGAUGCUAUAAGUAGCAAAGAGAAGGAUACAAUUGAAUUGAAACAAGAAUUAUCAAUUGCUCAAAUAUCUGAGGAAAAAUCAUUGUCUGCUU